rnacentral:rRNA from 1 species
AAAAACAUGGCCUUUUGUUAAAAAUUUAAGGUCAGACCUGCUCAAUGAAUUUUAAAUAGCCGCAGUAUCUUGACUGUGCAAAGGUAGCAUAAUCAUUAGUUUUUUAAUUGAAAGCUGGAAUGAAGGGUUUAAUGAGAAAAUAGCUGUCUCUAUAAUAAUUUUUUAGAAUUUUAUUUUUAAGUAAGAAAGCUUAAAUUUUAAUAAAAGACGAGAAGACCCUAUAGAGUUUUAUAUUUAAAUUUAGUAUUUUUUUAGAAGUUUAAAUGUAUUAAAUUAAAGAUAUUUAGUUGGGGUGAUUGGAAAAUUUAUUAAACUUUUCUUUUAAAUUUUCAUUAAUUUAUGUAAGAAUGAUCCUUUAUUUAAGAUUAUAAGAUUAAAUUACCUUAGGGAUAACAGCGUAAUUUUUUUUGAGAGUUCUAAUCGAAAAGAAAGAUUGCGACCUCGAUGUUGGAUUAAAAUGAAUUUUUGGUGUAGAAGCUAGAAUAAUUAGGUCUGUUCGACCUUUAAAAUUUUACUUGAUCUGAGUU